GAUGAACGCUGGCGGCGUGCCUAAUACAUGCAAGUCGAGCGAACGGACAAGAAGCUUGCUCCUCUGCUGUUAGCGGCGGACGGGUGAGUAACACGUGGAUAACCUACUUCUAAGACUGGGAUAACUUCGGGAAACCGGAGCUAAUACUGGAUCAUAUUUUGAACCGCAUGGUUCAAAAGUGAAAGAUGCUCUUCCUGUCUCUUUUAGAUGAAUUCGCGCUGCAUUAGCUAGUUGGUAAGGUAACGGCUUACCAAGGCAACGAUGCGUAGCCGACCUGAGAGGAUGAUCGGCCACACUGGAACUGAGACACGGUCCAGACUCCUACGGGAGGCAGCAGUAGGGAAUCUUCCGCAAUGGGCGAAAGCCUGACGGAGCAACGCCGCGUGAGUGAUGAAGGUCUUCGGAUCGUAAAACUCUGUUAUUAGGGAAGAACAUAUGUGUAAGUAAAUGUGCACAUCUUGACGGUACCUAAUCAGAAAGCCACGGCUAACUACGUG
rnacentral:rRNA from 1 species